rnacentral:lncRNA from 9 species
GGAGGCGGAAGGCGACUCGGACCUGGGCGCCCGGCCCAGGGCGGUGUGGCUGAGCGGCUGCCCCAGCCCCAGUCUGGGCCCGGCCUCUCGCCUCUUGCCUUCGGCCUCCCGCCUCCCGUCCCGGGCGGGCUGCGCGGCACCGACCCGACGGCGGCGGGCGGGGCAGGGGAGGCACGGGGAAGAAAUAGAACCCCAACCUCGCGGACCCGGGCCCGGCCCGCGGGCUCGCCUGCCUCUCCUGCCCAGCAGAGCACCCGGAGCGGUACCGGCCCAGCGGCCGCUCUCCGCGACUUGGGCCUCUCGUCCUCUGACGCGCCUCCCGGGCAGGGCCGAGGUCGGGGCCGAGGUCUCCCACUAGAGGGCCACGAUCUGCCUACGCGGCUGUGUCGCCCUAGCGGAGGGCGAGCGCCUCAGGAGCUGAGACGGCGUCCUCUUCCCUCAGAUCUGGCACUAGUGGAGCCUAGUAGGCAGCUAUGUGAAAGGUAGCAGAGGGGGCAUGGGCCUGGCGCUUACUAGGUGCGCCCUCAAUGUUGGGUCAUUGCUAUAUCUAGAGACCUGCACGAAGGCCCGGAGGAAUGGAGCCUCUGGAGGAACCGUGAGACCCGCGGUGAACAGAGUUGAAGGCCUGGCAACGGGUGCCUCCCAGGGUAUAGACGGCGAGACCUCCGAGUUACAGGGGAAGCUAGGACUGUGCAAGUUUGAGAUACACACUGAACUUCAAACAAGUCUAGACUACCACCUGCAGACUACUGGAGACAACUUUUUAUUUGAAUGAACAGAAUCGUGGACUAAAAUGAAAGAGAAAAUAAUGUAUCGGGAUUGUGGCAAUACAUAGAAGCCAUGGGACAGGAAGUAUUAUUAUCCCUUUCUGUAAAGGUUUGGAACCAGGGAAAAGAUGAAAACGUCAACUUUAUCACCAAUAAAGCAGAGCUGAAAAAUGUCUUGGAUGAUGACCAAUAGGCUUUUAACUAUUCUUUGAAUUAAAAUAUUCUCCCCCCAAAAAUUCAACCUCCACUUGGCAGAGACCUAGUAACUUGAACCAUGUCUGGUUAAAGAAUAUUGUACUCUCUCUAAGGACAGGCAGACCCAAGUCAAUUAGGAAGUCACUCCUGGAAGAACCAGGACAAAUUCUCCUCUACCUGCCCUCCUCGGGGGGGAAAAAAAAAUAGGGAAUAAGGAUUUAGCUCUGCCCAAACAAUUUGGAUCUGGCCCAGUAGUUGGUCAGUUAACUAGUAAAGUAUAUUAAAGCAGUGAAUUAUUAAAAGUGGCAAAUAAAAACCUUAACAUUUCAGAAGUUCCCUUCAUGGCUCAGCGGUUAAUGAACCCGACUAGUAUCCAGGAGGAUGCGGGUUUGAUCCCUGGCCCUGCUCAGUGGAUUGGGAUCCAGCGUUGUCGUGAGCUGUGGUGUAGGUCACAGACGGGGCGGCUCAGAUCCCAUGUUGCUGUGGCCACUGUGUAGGCCAGCAGUUAUAGCUCCGAUUCAACUCCUAGCCUGGGAACAUCCAUAUGCUGUGGGUGUGGCCCUAAAAAGGAAAAAAACCUUAAUAUUUCAUUUUUCACUUCAAGUCUAUAAUGCCCACUUGCCAAGCUUUUUUUUUUUUUUUUUUUUUUUUGGCUACAGCUACAGCCUAUGGAAUUCCCUGGCCAGGGAUUGACCCCAGGUCACAGCAGCAGCCUGAGCCACAGCAGCAACAACACCAGAUCCUUAACCCACUGUGCCAUCAGGGAACUCCACUGCCAAUCUUUUGAUAUGAUAACAAAUUUGAGCAAGAGUGGUGGUUAGAGCUCUUGAUCUAUCUUACAUAAUAUAUUUUCUAUGCUUUCCAAGUUAUUUCUUGAAAGUUGACUGAGGCCUUAAGACCUCUUGCAAAGCAACAUAACUAGAGGCUCCUUCUCUUUUGGAGGGCCAUGCGCACAAUAUGCAGAAAUUCCCUGGGCCAAGGAUUAAACCCAAACCACAGCAGUGACAACACUGAAUCCUUAACCACUAGGCCACCAGGGAACUCCUAGAGGCUCCUUCUCUAUCUUAUUUUUAUUUUUUGCUUUUCGGGGCCGAACCCUCGGCAUAUGGAGGUUUCCGGACUAGGGGGCCAAUCAAAGCCUACUCCAGAGCCACAGCAACAUCAGAUCCGAGCCUCGUCUGUGAACUACAUCACAGCUCAAGGCAACACCAGAUCCUUAACCCACUGAGUGAGGCCAGUGAUCAAACCCGCAAUGUCAUGGUUCCUAGUCGGAUUCAUUUCUGCUGCACCACAACGGGUGGCUCCCUCUUUAAAAAAAAAAAAGUUAUUUGUAAUUGUCUCACCCACAUCUGGUUUGACAGUAAUUUUCAACUGUCUUUAGCUCAUAUUUCCAAAGCAUUCAACUGACAUUUCAUAGACACAACUCUUUCAUGCUUAUGUCUCAUCAGUUUAUGCAAUUUUAAUUAAAUUAAUUAUACUCUGGCAAAUAGCUAUCAUAAGCAGUUUUGGGACCAAACACAACAGACUCUUGUUAGAUAUCUAACUCAACUGGUAGGAAAAGGUGUGUGGAUGUUGCAGAGAUGGACUCACCAGUUCAAAGCAUUCUGCAGGCACUGGCAGUAAUCAAUACAUUUAUUUGGAGGUAAUGUAAAGUGUUGAUUCCAGAGAGUCCAUUAAAACAAGAUGAGUUAGGAGUUUCCUAGUGGCCUAGUAGACUAAGGAUCCAGAUUGUCACUGCUUGGGUCACUGCUGUGGCACAGGUUCAGUUCCUGCCUGGGAACUUCUCCAUGCCAUGGGUAUAGCCCCCCCCACACACACACACAAAUGGGUUAAUGCACGUACACUAGCAUAACCAACUCUGGGUGCAUAUAUCUUAACAUUCCUCUUCUAUCAUGUAUCCAUUUUAUAAAUGUUUAUUGAUAUUCAGGACAGUGCCAGGCACUAUAACAAGCCCUGAAGAAGCACAGCUCACUGAAGAGGAAGAAAUUGAUAUGGAAACAGGGUGAAGCAGCAGGAUGGAAAAGGAGGAAUUUUCAGGAGCAAAUCCCUUUACCUUCUCUCUAUUCGUUCCCCGCAAAAUUGCUGUCUCUCCAUUCCCAUUAGCUAAAAAAAAUGGCUUUAAAUAUCUUAUGGCUAUCACAGAGGUCUGAUGGUAAUCCCGCUUACUACAUUAGCAACAUACAUAUAUGCCUCAUGUACUUUCUGAGGCUAAUGAGAUGAUGCAGUUGGUCCAUUCAGAGAAAGCUGCAGCAAUGGGAAUUGGUAUAAUCCUCUUAAAAAGCAAUUUGACAGUAUUUCUGAAGAGCCUUAAUAGAGAUGUGACUCCCUUUUGACUCAUCAAUGCCACUCCUAGAAAAUUUUCCUUAAGAAAUAAUCCUCCCCAAAAGAGAAUGGCCACAUGCACAAUAUUUACUAUAACUUUACUUGUGAUGAAAGUUUGAAACAUAUGAAUGAUUAACUUAUUAUAUGCAACAUUGUAUAACUUUGAGUGCACAUGGCAUAAAAGAAGACAUUUGAUUAUAUAUUAAAUUUUAAAAGAUAUAAUUUGCUCAUCUUACUAAGAACAACUGAACUAUUUGUUUUUUGUUUUUGUAUGGCCGCACCUGAGGCACAUAGAAAUUCCCAGGCUAGGGGUCCAAUAGGAGCUACAGCUGCUGGCCUACACCACAGC